GUUCCCGGUGACGUCAGGUACAGGAGCGCUCCGCAGCCAGUGUUUCCUCCCCGUGCCUAGGUUGCACCCAGCAUCCGCAGUGUCAUGCAGAAGUACCUGGAGGACCGGGGCGAAGUGACCUUUGAGAAGAUCUUUUCCCAGAAGCUGGGGUACCUGCUCUUCCGAGACUUCUGCCUGAACCACCUGGAGGAGGCCAGGCCCUUAGUGGAAUUCUAUGAGGAGAUCAAGAAGUACGAGAAGCUGGAGACGGAGGAGGAGCGUGUGGCCCGCAGCCGGGAGAUCUUCGACUCAUACAUCAUGAAGGAGCUGCUGGCCUGCUCGCAU
rnacentral:sRNA from 1 species